rnacentral:rRNA from 1 species
CACGGGGGGAGCAAGCGUUGUUCGGAAUCACUGGGCGUAAAGAGCGCGCAGGCGGUCAGAUAAGUCGAAUGUGAAAGCCCCCGGCUCAACUGGGGAGGGUCAUUCGAUACUGUUCGACUCGAAGGCAGGAGAGGGAAGUGGAAUUCCCGGUGUAGUGGUGAAAUGCGUAGAUAUCGGGAGGAACACCAGUGGCGAAGGCGACUUCCUGGCCUGUUCUUGACGCUGAGGCGCGAAAGCUAGGGGAGCAAACGGG